UUCAAUCCGCUCAAAAUUUAUUUAAUACUGAAAUUGUCCGUGCAUGACCUAAAUAAGUGUUACUAUUUUUAAACUAUAAACAUCGUACAUUUAUGCUUUGGCUUGUGUUGUCAAAUCGGCAUUAAUGGCCAUUUAAUAUCAGGUUCAACAUGGACACGAUUGAUUUCAUUCAAGAUAGAGCACUUUGUCGACGGGAAAUCCAAUCAAGAAAACACUGACCCUCAAGCAGCUACUGUAUUUGACCAGCUCACACCAGCUAGGCCUCCUCCAAAACUCAGAUAAAUAUUUGAGCCACCAAAACAAAACGAGAACAGAUCGGUCUGAAUCGUUAAGAACUGAAGCUAACAUCAUAGAGGUACAUCCUUCCAAGAAUCCAUCAAAACAACAUGCUGAACAACUUCAAGAACUCUCUUCAAAAGACCACACUUUCCUGAAAUAAAUAAAAGAUGCCAAUAUUAAAAUAAAUCAGUUACAUGUAUUGUUAAAUAUUUUAAUACUAGCUGUAAAUGCUACUGCCUUUGAUGUUUGCUUUCUACAUGUAUAUCAUAAUGAAAUAUUGACAAGAUACUAGCUAAUGUUUUGUGGUUGUUGUUUUUCUCUGGACAAAUAGUCCAUUACUUUUGUACAGCAAAGUAAAAACUAAAUGUUAUAAAAAGCU